UUGAAACUCUUGUCUGUUGAAUCCUGUGGACUUCCUAUCCCCUGUGGACUUCCUAUACACUCCCAGCUCCAAAACAACCAAAUGCCCAACCUCUAACAUUAUUACCCUCCUAGUCAUACUUCUAGUGUCAUUGGCCUUCAUUUUCCCUUUUGACAAAGUCCUUCCUCCACCCAUGCCUUCCUGUCAUCGAUGACUGCCUUGUCUCCUUGAGUAGAAAGGUACUUGAGCAGAGAAAGAAGGCGGAGGAAGAGGAAGCGAGAUGGAGUGAGAGACAGAAGCAGAGAGAGAAGAAGCUUGCGAAGGUGGUUUCGAAGCGCGCCCAGGCCAACGACACCCAUGUGCCCCUCUCUCAGACCAACCAGUCCAAGCUCAAGCAGUUCAGGUACCCAUAGAAACCCAUAACAUUACAAUUAUACUUGUAGCAACCCAGAAACUCACCCUGCCUGAGACCAGUACGAACACCUACUCCACAGCCCGCCGCACAUUUUCAUAUGGAAGUUGUGAGUGGAAUUGCAAACCUAAAGUGUUAAUUUAACACUAUUAAAAAGACUGAACCGAACAUUGCCUCAAUAGUCUCAAUUGUGACGCUUUUUGUAGUUUAUUAUUUUGAAGAAUAUGGAUGGAUCUCUUCAUUGUUUUUAUAAGACAUUAAAAACAUACUAAUGUGUGGAUACCCUUUUGUUCCUUAUCCCAAUUUCAGUUUUAAGUAAUUGUUUAGGAGUGAUUUCCAUAUCAGUAACAGUAAGCUGCGGUUGUAAAAGUGAUGUUUUUGUUGAAUAGGUCUGGGUUGAGGGUUAUUUCAGGGCUGAGGGUUGUGGGAUCACAGGGGUGAGAGGUUGUCUGUGUGUUUCAAACAGAAAGCAGGACUUUCAGCGCAGGAAGGAGUACAAGGAGGAGAUGAGGGAGAUCCAGGAGAGAGUGAAGGGGAGGCCUCUGCUGUUGGAGCAGGUCGCACAGAUGAAUGCCAAACACGCUGCAGAGAAGCACUACACAGACACCCUGCGAGGCUGUGGAGUGAGUGAGGACUUUGUCAGUGGCAAGGUGCUCAAGUCCCAGUGGCCAGGUGGCCAAGACUCUGCAUCCAGGACCUCCUUCUCCAGUGACUCCAAACAAAGUGAAAAGGAUGAGACAGAUACACCAGCUAUUUACAACACGGUCUUCCAGGAUGACUACCCAGACAAUUAUGAAGACAGCUUUGCUGACCAAGAACAGGAAGGAGAGCAGGAGGCUGAGAAAGAUGAAUUAAAAUCCAAAAAAGAGGAAGAUGAGGAUGAAGGCCAUGACGAAGCAGGUCGGGAGAGGGAGGACAUUGGGCGUUAUUCAGAUGAUUGCGAUUACUCAGAUGACCAUUACUCAGAUGAUGAUGACCAUUACUCAGAUGCCAGUGAGCAUUACUUGCCCCUGGACGAUGAAAAGAAUGAAGGGAGUCACAUCAUCAAAAGGCCAAAGAGUACAGAGAGCAGCCCAAGCUAUAGAAGCGGCCAGCACAGCCGAAACAGUCAGAAGUCAGAGAGUGAUAGGGAAAACACAGCAAUUGCAGACAAGAAAAAUGAUGAGGAUGACUGAAAAGUCAAAGGAGUGCAUUUUCUCACACGUAGCUGGACUACAUUGUGCGCAAACGUCUACGACACUGACACACAGUGGUAGAGAUGCUUCUAUUAUACAAUAGGCUAAAUGUAUGGUAGGAUGCGUGUGUGUGUAUGUAUGUAUGUAUAAUUUCCUGUUUAUUAAAAGAAAGUGGCAAAUACAAUUUAGUGCGAUACAUAGACCAGAGUCAAUUGUAGUAGGUUAUGGUUAUACAAAUUUUCACAUUGAACAUGUUAGGGUACUCUUUGUCUUGUGAUAUCCUACUAUGCAGGAAAUACAACACUAUGACCACUUAUUUUUGGAUGUUUGUGAUACAUUUUCUUUAGACAUUUGUCAAUGUUUUGUGACUUAAUAUGUGUAGCCUAACAUUUGCAAUAUAUUUCAGGAUCAUACUUUCAUUGCAUAUAUACUUAACAUUUGGGAACAUAAAGGUGUUAUGUAUUUCAUGUACAUUAUGGGAUAUUUAUAUUUCUGUACUUGUCAUAAGACAAUUUGGCAAUAAAUCAUCAUCGACGCACGUUUUAUUGGUCACAUACACAUGUUUAGCAGAUGUUAUUGCAGGUGUAGCGAAAUGCUUGUGUUUCUAGCUCCAACAGUGCAUUAAUAUCUAACAGUUCACAGCAAUACACACAACGAUGUAAAUAAAAUAAAAAACUAUGAGAUGAUGAGACAGCCUAUAGGGAGGAGGUCAGAGUCCUAGCCGUGUGGUGCCAGGAUGACAACCUCUCCCUCAACGUGAUCAAGACAAAAGAGAUGAUUGUGGACUACAGGAAAAGGAGGACCGAUCACGCCCCCAUUCUCAUCAACGGGGC
ensembl:lncRNA